rnacentral:rRNA from 1 species
UGGGGAAUAUUGGACAAUGGGCGCAAGCCUGAUCCAGCAAUGCCGCGUGUGUGAAGAAGGCCUUCGGGUUGUAAAGCACUUUUAUCAGGAGCGAAACGCUGUCGGCUAAUACCCGGCGGAACUGACGGUACCUGAGGAAUAAGCACCGGCUAACUUCGUGCCAGCAGCCGCGGUAAUACGAAGGGUGCAAGCGUUAAUCGGAAUUACUGGGCGUAAAGCGUGCGUAGGCGGUUUCUUAAGUCUGCUGUGAAAUCCCCGGGCUCAACCUGGGAAUGGCAGUGGAUACUGGGAGGCUAGAGUGUGUCAGAGGGUGGUGGAAUUCCCGGUGUAGCGGUGAAAUGCGUAGAGAUCGGGAGGAACAUCAGUGGCGAAGGCGGCCACCUGGGACAACACUGACGCUGAGGCACGAAAGCGUGGGGAGCAAACAGGAUUAGAUACCCUGGUAGUCCACGCCCUAAACGAUGCGAACUGGAUGUUGGUCUCAACUCGGAGAUCAGUGUCGAAGCUAACGCGUUAAGUUCGCCGCCUGGGAGUACGGUCGCAAGACUGAAACUCAAAUGAAUUGACGGGGUCAUAGCUGUUUCCUG